UGUUGUUGCAAUAGUAAUUCUGCUCAGUACGAGAGGAACCGCAGAUUCAGACAAUUGGCAUUUGCACUUGGCUGAAAAGCCAAUGGUGCGAAGCUACCAUCUGUUGGAUUAUGACUGAACGCCUCUAAGUCAGAAUCCGUGCUAGGACGCAACGAUAAUUACCUCCGGAGAAUCUUAGGCGAACAAGGAUAGAGAACGGGCUUGCCCGCUCUCCUGCGUCCCAAUGUGCCAAGAGGGACAACAACCCUCAAGGCACUAAACUAUAUCAAAGUUUAAAAUUUCUGGAGAUAAAUCCUUUGCAGACGACUUAAAUAAAGAACGGGGUAUUGUACGUUGUAGAGUAGCCUUGUUGCUACGAUCUUCUGAGAUUAAGCCUUUGUUCUACGAUUU
rnacentral:rRNA from 1 species